CUAAGAAUAUUCCGCAAUGGACGGAAGUCUGACGGAGCGACGCCGCGUGGAUGAAGAAGGCCGAAAGGUUGUAAAGUUCUUUUGCUGGGGAAGAAUAACCGCAGGAGGGAAUGCCUGUGGGAUGACAAGAACCGGCGAAUAAGCCCCGGCCAACUACGUGCCAGCAGCCGCGGUAACACGCAGGGGGGCGAGCGUUGUUCGGAAUUACUGGGCGUAAAGGGCAUGUAGGCGGCUUGGAAAGCCUGGCGUGAAAGUCUGCAGCUUAACUGCAGGGGUGCGCUGGGAACUGCUGAGCUUGAGUGACGGAGAGGGAGCUGGAAUUCCUGGUGUAGGAGUGAAAUCUGUAGAUAUCAGGGAAGAACACCGAUGGCGAAGGCAAGCUCCUGGCCGAUGAUUGACGCUGAGGUGCGAAAGUGUGGGGAUCAAACAGGAUUAGAUACCCUGGUAGUCCACACAGUCAACGAUGUGCACUAGGUGCUGGGGCGGUAGCUUCGGUGCCGGAGCGAACGUGGUAAGUGCACCGCCUGGGGGAGUAUGUCNCAAGGGGUGAAACUCAAAUGAAUUGACGGGGGUCAUANCU
rnacentral:rRNA from 1 species